AUACCACCCUGUGACUGAAUAAAUAUAGGGGAAUUAAGGCCGACUGGCCCUCCCCUGACUUUUCCCCCCGUUAAGAAACGCAGAGGUUGGCUGUGGCUCAGCGUUUUUUUCAGCAGUGCAUGACCUUCUUGGAUACAGAUAAGUAAAAUUCACGGGAACGGAAGUCUGUGACCGUCUGAAGUAGCGCUAGCAAAAGAAGAGGUGUUUUACAUAACAGAAAGAAAACGGCAGGAAGAGGAGAAUGAGAGAGAAGAGUGCCUGGAAACUGAAGCCGGACAUGAGUUCAGGAACCUGUCGGCCGUUUGUUGAGGUGUCUUGAAAGAAGAGAGCAAACUGGAUCUAACCGGGACAGAAAGAGAAACGGAAGGCCCAGAUGCACAACUGCGCAAGAGGACAAGAAAAUCAGAGUCUCUGAGUAACAGACCCCUCACAGGUCCUCAACAGAACCUGCUAAACAUCAGUUUCCUCUGCACAGUGAAGAGAUGAGUGCAGGAUGCUGGC